AACGUAGGGGACAAGCGUUAUCCGGAUUUACUGGGCGUAAAGGGCGCGUAGGCGGCCUGCUAAGUCGGAUGUGAAAUCCCUCGGCUCAACCGAGGAACUGCAUCCGAUACUGGCCGGCUUGAAUCCGGGAGAGGGAUGUGGAAUUCCAGGUGUAGCGGUGAAAUGCGUAGAUAUCUGGAGGAACACCGGUGGCGAAGGCGGCAUCCUGGACCGGUAUUGACGCUGAGGCGCGAAAGCUAGGGAGCAA
rnacentral:rRNA from 1 species